rnacentral:rRNA from 1 species
CCCUUAGAUGUCCUGGGCUGCACGCGCGCUACACUGAUGUGUCCAGUAAGCACCUAACCUCUUCCGAAAGGAACGGGUAACCUUUGCAAAGCACAUCGUGAUGGGGAUAGAUUAUUGCAAUUAUUAGUCUUGAACGAGGAAUUCCUAGUAAGCACAAGUCAUCAGCUUGUGUUGAUUACGUCCCUGCCCUUUGUACACACCGCCCGUCGCUCCUACCGAUUGAAUGUUCCGGUGAGCUCUUCGGACUGCGCGGUCUGCAGUUUCUGCGUUCCGUGCGGAAAGUUGCGCAAACCUUAAUAUUUAGAGGAAGGAGAAGUCGUAACA